UCACCCCUCGGGCCCCGUGCUCGGUGUUGGAUGGCCGGUUCGGGCGACCGAACCCCUCCCAAAGACAAUGACGGCGGCCUGUGGUUCCCCCGGUACACUGAGCUUUUCACGAGGCACGUACCGGACGAGGGCGCCCAGGACCCGGUCCUCUCCUCUCAGCAGGAAAGUUUUCAAU
rnacentral:misc_RNA from 1 species